rnacentral:rRNA from 1 species
AAACCGUUCGGGGGUAAACGGACAGAGCCCGUGAAUCCGAGCAACGGAAUUCAGAUUCGAAGGCGUUCGCGCGUCGUCGGAUCGAUGUUUCCGUUGCAGUGUUUUUUCGGACGUCGCGACCCGUUCGGUGUCGGUCUGAGGAGACGUGUUAAAGUUCGUUGGCGUGUGUUCGAAUCGUUUCGGCGGUUAGGCGCGCGUCUGCGAGUCGCGUUUUUUUUCUGGCCGACUCGCCGGACGGUAAGUGUAGCGGUGACCACGGCGACCUAGCGUCGUCGUUUUGGUACCGGUCUGCGACGAAUCUUCGGGCCUCUUUCCGA